GCAUAUUCUUCCGUCAUCGCGCAUGCACGUCGCAGCAUUGGAUUACUGUAGUCUGUAGAGGCCGACGGUCAGGGCACGGUAUCGUGUAGAAGAAAAUCGAGCUCUGGGGUGGGACGUGGGAAUACCGUGUGCGCGCGCGCGGCGUCAUCUCGGUGGUACGCUCUGGGAUGUCUAACACGCUCCCUGUUUCGGAUAUAGCUGCCGUGGCCAUGUUUCUUUGCUUUCGUUUUUUAAGCAAACGCCGUGUCAGGACUCAGGUUUCAUGCCUGCCG
rnacentral:lncRNA from 1 species